GACGGAGGAUGCUAGCGUUAUCCGGAAUGAUUGGGCGUAAAGCGUCCGCAGGUGGCCAGUCCAGUCCGGUGUCAAAGCGUGGGGCUUAACCUAAUACAGGCAGUAGAAACUGACCCGCUAGAGGGUGGUAGAGGUUGAGGGAACUCCCAGUGUAGAGGUGAAAUGCGUAGAUAUUGGGAAGAACACCGGUGGCGAAAGCGGUCAUCUGGCCCACUCCUGACGCUGAGGGGCGAAAGCUUGGGGAGCAAAAGGG
rnacentral:rRNA from 1 species